rnacentral:rRNA from 1 species
GACGAACGCUGGCGGCGUGCCUAACACAUGCAAGUCGAACGAAGCAUAGCAAUAUGCUUAGUGGCGGACGGGUGAGUAACGCGUGAACAAUCUGCCCUGUACAAAGGAAUAGCCUCGGGAAACCGGGAUUAAAACCGUAUGACACUUUAGUAUCGCAUGAUAAGAAAGUCAAAUCGAUUAGAGGUAUGGGAUGAGUUCGCGUCUGAUUAGCUGGUUGGCGGGGUAACGGCCCACCAAGGCGACGAUCAGUAGCCGGCCUGAGAGGGUGAACGGCCACACUGGAACUGAGACACGGUCCAGACUCCUACGGGAGGCAGCAGUGGGGAAUAUUGCACAAUGGAGGGAACUCUGAUGCAGCGACGCCGCGUGAGUGAAGAAGGUCUUCGGAUCGUAAAACUCUGUCCUUGGUGAAGAAAAGGACGGUAGCCAAGGAGGAAGCCCCGGCUAACUACGUG